rnacentral:rRNA from 1 species
GACGAACCGUGCGAACGUUAUUCGGAAUCGCUGGGCUUAAAGCGCGUGUAGGCGGGACGGCACGUCGGUCGCUGAAAUCCCCCGGCUUAACCGGGGAACGGGCGUCGAUACGACCGUCCUGGAGGGGCGUAGGGGGACCUGGAACUUCCGGUGGAGCGGUGAAAUGCGUUGAGAUCGGAAGGAACGCCCGUGGCGAAAGCGAGGUCCUGGACGCCUACUGACGCUGAGACGCGAAAGCCAGGGGAGCGAACGGG